UAAAACAGUACAGAGAAAUUCUUACCUUGAGAGCUCUUUCCCAACAACGCAGUGAUAACAAUAAUAACAAUAAUAAUAAUAGAGAUAAUAAUAUACAAUUUAAUUUUUAAAAAUACAAUGUGAUAAUGCAAUUAUACAUGUAUACCAGUACCAGUAUCUUAUUCAAUGUUCAGGGGUACUGGAGGGGUUGUAUAUACAGGUCAGUACCAGUAUCUUAUUCAAUGUUCAGGGGUACUGGAGGGGUUGUAUAUACAGGUCAGUACCAGUAUCUUAUUCAAUGUUCAGGGGUACUGGAGGGGUUGUAUAUACAGGUCAGUACCAGUAUCUUAUUCAAUGUUCAGGGGUACUGGAGGGGUUGUAUAUACAGGUCAGUACCAGUAUCUUAUUCAAUGUUCAGGGGUACUGGAGGGGUUGUAUAUACAGGUCAGUACCAGUAUCUUAUUUAAUGUUCAGGGGUACUGGAGGGGUUGUAAUAUACAGGUCAGUACCAGUAUCUUAUUCAAUGUUCAGGGGUACUGGAGGGGUUGUAUAUACAGGUCAGUACCAGUAUCUUAUUCAAUGUUCAGGGGUACUGGAGGGGUUGUAUAUACAGGUCAGUACCAGUAUCUUAUUCAAUGUUCAGGGGUACUGGAGGGGUUGUAUAUACAGGUCAGUACCAGUAUCUUAUUCAAUGUUCAGGGGUACUGGAGGGGUUGUAUAUACAGGUCAGUACCAGUAUCUUAUUCAAUGUUCAGGGGUACUGGAGGGGUUGUAUAUACAGGUCAGUACCAGUAUCUUAUUCAAUGUUCAGGGGUACUGGAGGGGUUGUAUAUACAGGUCAGUACCAGUAUCUUAUUCAAUGUUCAGGGGUACUGGAGGGGUUGUAUAUACAGGUCAGUACCAGUAUCUUAUUCAAUGUUCAGGGGUACUGGAGGGGUUGAGGUGGGUAUAUACAUAACAAGUGUC